rnacentral:misc_RNA from 1 species
UACGGAGGGUGCAAGCGUUAAUCGGAAUUACUGGGCGUAAAGCGCGCGUAGGCGGUUAUGUAAGUCGGGUGUGUAAGCCCCGGGCUCAACCUGGGAAUUGCAUUCGAUACUGCAUAGCUAGAGUCUGGGAGAGGGAAGGGGAAUUCCGGGUGUAGCGGUGAAAUGCGUAGAUAUCCGGAGGAACACCAGUGGCGAAGGCGCCUUCCUGGCCUGAUACUGACACUGAGGUGCGAAAGCGUGGGGAGCAAACAGG